rnacentral:ncRNA from 1 species
UGAGCCACGAACUCCCCCAAAGAACCUGGGGGAAAGAACCACCCGCCCUCCCUCCCCUCCCCCGCAUCACCCGGACGAGUGACUGGCUUGCGGGGGUGGGAAGUUGGCGGUUACGUUCGCGGCAACAACCCCAGACAUAUGACGGCCCCCGGCCGGGACGGCAAUCCCGAUCGAGGGCCUCACCGAUCAGGAAGAGACACCUUCCCG